GAGUUGGAAAAAAGCAGAAUUAUGGAAAUAGCUUUCUUUAUUAACAAUCUAUUUCUUUACUGUGUUGCUAUAUCUACAUUAACUAUUAAGGUGGAAAUAGAAAGUAAAAGUGCCUUUCAAGUAAAAUCACAAAUACUUUAAAAUGGUAAUUUUUUUAAAAGAAUCUAAGAAAAGACCUAAUUGAGAAACUUCUGGACUAGCUAGUUUAAGAAGUCUUAUUUAAAAGCUAUAGCUUUUAAUAAUGACUCAUUAUAGCAUGUAGAAAACAGGAAACAAAUUUCAUAAUCAAGAUAG
rnacentral:lncRNA from 1 species